CGGGACUUGUACUGUUGGUGACUCCGUCUCCUUAGACGGUGGAGCCUGCGUGACCCAGAAAGGCCGCCUCGGGACCCAGACCAGGAUUUCCAUCAGCUCCCCUGGCUCGCAGGCCUUCUGACUUCUGACUCACCAUCAGCUCUCCUGGAUCCAGCUUGCCAAUGGCAGAUCGUGGGACUCCUUGCCCUCUAAUCGCAUGAAACAAUGCCCACAAUGGUGAGCUCCUUAGAGGGAAGUAUAGUACAUAUUUCCUCCAUGUCUCCAGUACCCAACACAGUGCCUGACGUUGAGAGGGCUCUUAAUAAGUGUUUGUGAAAGACUGGUAGAGCAAUGCCCUAUGAAACAAGAAGCUGGAUAACACUGCUUAGGACUCAGAGGAGAGAGGAGUGUGGUCUACACUGCACAUCUCUGCCAAGCCUGGCACGGGAUUUGAAGUUCCACACCACUGAGCCAAACACAUCCAGACCCUCUUCCAACCCGGGGAUCUGGUGGUAAGCAAAAUACUAUUCCAGCAAGUGAUGCCCCCAGUCUCCUAAGGAUAUAAGAAACAGGAAGUUGUGUUUGGCUGCGGACAAACUCUCUCAGUGCCCCUGGGACUUACAAGAUGUUUGGAAUGAGGAACGGUGAGCUCUCCCAAUGCGAGCUCAGCGGAGGCCCCCAGAAAAACGUGGGGAGGAGAGUUUUCCCCAUAAGACAGACUGUCCUUCAGCCCCGGCCACCAAAGAGGAGUAACCCGGGCCUGCUGUUCUCUGGGACUGAAUGCGGCUGCAUCCUUCCCUUCCUCUGCUUCCUGUCCCGAUCUGGUUUCUGAGUCCCUGGGCUGCAGCUGUUGAAUUUCCAGACACAAACAAGUAUGCGUUCUGAGAGCCUCGCCGAGCCCACACAACCGGGAGAGCCAAGCUGGAUUCCAUUCUGCUUUGCACAUCAGCAGCUCUGCUGCCAGCUGAACUCCAGGGCAAAAGCUGUGCCUGGUAAUGAUGCAGGCAGCAGGGAUGGCACAGCUGGCCUGGCUUAGGCCGUUAAGGGGGACACGCUUGGCCUUAUUUGGGGGAGAGCGAGAAAUGGAAGGCGAUGAAGAGUUGCGGAAGCAUACAUCAGCCUCCACAAAACUGGUGCACAGCAGGGAAACAAUCUGGUUUUGCUAGUCAUCAACAACAUGCCUGUGUGUGUGCCUGUUUAUGCUUAGGUAAGCCCAGCCUCCCACUCGCUGAAAAGAGUAGGCAGACAAGAAGGAGUGACCAACUCUGAGUCAGCUGUCAUCGUGUAGAGAGCAGCUAAGGGGAACAGUGGGGCUGGAAUCUCAUGGCCUUGCCUAGUGCCCCUACAGCAUCCUCUCUGCCCAUGGUGCCAGAUAUCUGAAUGGGAGGACAAAGGGGGCACAGGUGGUGAAAAAAACCAAGAUGCACAUUUGGGUAUUUUCCUUCUUUUGCUAGAAUGUCAUUUCUUGAUGUCUGUUUCUUGUCACCCAUUUGUGAUCAGGGACUAAGUAAGUUCCCUCUGCACCAGACCAGGUGGAAGACUGAGCCAGAGUUCCUCUGAGCCACAGGAGAGAUGAGGAGCUAUGGAGCGGAGUAGGGGCUGAGGAUCUGGUGCCCCCAGCUAAACUAAAAGGAGGCAGGCAGCAUGUAAGAGGAUGAUGGGGUAGCUCACAGAGAGGAAGGGGAUAUUCUUUCUCAAGAAUGAUGAGCCCAAAGGCAUCGCAUAACAAUUGUGAUCUCCCAGCUGGACGUUUCCUGUAGCACAGGUGUUCACAGUGUGGCUCCCAAACCAGCAGCCUCCAUGUCAGUCACUGGGAACUUGUUAGAAAUGCAGAUUCUCAGGCCACCCCAACCAUUAGAUCAGAAACUCUGGGGAUGGGGCCCCACAAUCUGUGUUUUCUUUUCUUUCUUUCUUUCUUUUUUUUUUUUUUUGAGACAGGGUCUCACUGUGUCAUCCAGGCUGGAGUGCAGUGGCAUGAAAAUGGCUCACUGCAGCCUCAACCUCCUGGGCUCAAGUGACCCUCCCACCUCAGCCUCCUGAGUAGCUGGGACUACAGGCCUGUACCACCAUGACCGACUGAUUUCGUUUUUUAAUUUUUUAUAGAAACAGGGUCUCGCCAUAUUGUCAUGGCUGGUCUUGAACUCCUGGG
rnacentral:lncRNA from 10 species